rnacentral:lncRNA from 1 species
GGCAGUAACUGAGUUGCAGGGGGGAGACCAGUAACUGAGUUGUAGUGGGGAGACCCGUAACUGAGUUGUAGUGGGGAGACCAGUAACUGAGUUGUAGUGGGGAGACCAGUAACUGAGAUAUAGGUGGAGACCCCUAACUGAGUUGUAGGGGGAGACCAGUAACUGAGUUGUAGGGGGGAGACCAGUAAUUUAGUUGCAGUGGGGAGACCAGUAACUGAGUUGCAGUGGGGAGACCCGUACAUUAGUUGUAGGGGGGAGACCCAUAUCUGAGUUUUAGGGGGGAGACCAGUAACUGAGUUGUAGUGGGGAGACCCUUAACUGAGUUGUAGGGGGGAGACCAGUAACUGAGUUGUAGUGGGGAGACCAGUAACUGAGUUGUAGGGGGGAGACCAGUAACUGAGUUGUAGGGGGGAGACCAGUAACUGAGUUGUAGUGGGGAGACCAGUAACUGAGUUGUAGUGGGGAGACCCGUAACUGAGUUGUAGUGGGGAAACCAGUAACUGAGUUGUAGGGGGGAGGGCAGUAACUGAGUUGUAGUGGGGAGACCAGUAACUGAGUUGUGGUCGGGAGACUAGUUACUGAGUUGUUGGGGGGAGACCAGUAACUGAGUUGUAGUGGGGAGACCCGUAACUGAGUUGUAGUGGGGAGACCAGUAACUGAGUUGUAGGGGGGAGACCCGUAACUGAGUUGUAGUGGGGAGACCAGUAACUGAGUUGUAGGGGGGAGACUAGUAACUGAGUUGUAGUGGGGAGACCAGUAACUGAGUUGUAGUGGGGAGACCAGUAACUGAGUUGUAGUGGGGAGACCAGUAACUGAGUUGUAGUGGGGACACCAGUAACUGAGUUGUAGUGGGGACACCAGUAACUGAGUUGUAGGGGGGAGACCAGUAUCUGAGUUGUAGUGGGGAGACCCGUAACUGAGUUGUAGUGGGGAGACCAGUAACUGAGUUGUAGUGGGGACACCAGUAACUGAGUUGUAGUGGGGACACCAGUAACUGAGUUGUAGUGGGGACACCAGUAACUGAGUUGUAGGGGGGAGACCAGUAUCUGAGUUGUAGGGGGGAGACCAGUAACUGCAAGAUAAAUCACAGGCUGCAAAUGGCUUCUUCUCCUCAGCAGUUCAGACAGCCUUCAUCUGUCUGUGUGGGAGCACCAUUAGUCUCAGAACACUGCGUUUACAUGCUAAUAACUGAAUAUUAAACUGAUUAUGGCAGUAGGUUCGAGUAUGCCAUUAGUCAUGUAAACAACUUACUCUGCUCAUCUGAAUCAGCGUAAGGUCAUAAUCAAAGUAAGCAAUCAAAUUAUUAGGACAUGUAAACAGUUUAAUUAAUCGGGAGUUCCAGCUGUG